rnacentral:rRNA from 1 species
CCUACGGGUGGCAGCAGUGAGGAAUAUUGGUCAAUGGACGAAAGUCUGAACCAGCCAAGUAGCGUGAAGGAUGAAUGCCCUAUGGGUUGUAAACUUCUUUUAUAAGGGAAUAAAAAGAGCCACGUAUGCCUUUUUGCACGUACUUUAUUACUAAGGAUCGGCUAACUCCGUGCCAGCAGCCGCAGUAAUACGGAGGCGCCGGGCGUUAACCGGAUUUGUUGGGUUUAAAGGGAGCGUAGAUGGGAUGUUAAGUCAGUUGUGAAAGUCCGUGGCUCAACCGUGAAAUUGCAUGUGAUACUGGUAGUCUUGAGUACAGGGGAGGUAGGCGGAAUUCGUGGUGUAGCGGUGAAAUGCGUAGAUAUAACGAAGAACACCGAUGGCGAAGGCAGCUGACUGGACUGUGACUGACAUUGAGGCGCGAAAGCGUGGGGAUCAAACAGGAUUAGAUACCCUAGUAGUC